GACCGCACGGGAUAAUACUUAUUCCGUGCGGUUGGUUAAGACGCCCGCACGGGAUAAUGUUUAUCCCGUGCGGUC
rnacentral:pre_miRNA from 11 species